rnacentral:rRNA from 1 species
AGUGAACGCUGGCGGUAGGCCUAACACAUGCAAGUCGAACGGCAGCACAGGAGAGCUUGCUCUCUGGGUGGCGAGUGGCGGACGGGUGAGGAAUACAUCGGAAUCUACUUUUUCGUGGGGGAUAACGUAGGGAAACUUACGCUAAUACCGCAUACGGCCUACGGGUGAAAGCAGGGGACCUCCGGGCCUUGCGCGAUUGAAUGAGCCGAUGUCGGAUUAGCUAGUUGGCGGGGUAAAGGCCCACCAAGGCGGCGAUCCGUAGCUGGUCUGAGAGGAUGAUCAGCCACACUGGAACUGGGACACGGGCCAGGCUCCUACGGGGGGCAGCAGUGGGGAAUAUUGGACAAUGGGCGCAAGCCUGAUCCAGCCAUACCGCGUGGGUGAAGAAGGCCUUCGGGUUGUAAAGCCCUUUUGUUGGGAAAGAAAUCCAGCUGGCUAAUACCCGGUUGGGAUGACGGUACCCAAAGAAUAAGCACCGGCUAACUUCGUGCCAGCCGCCGCAGUAA